rnacentral:rRNA from 1 species
AUGACGAGGCGGUGCUCGCACUGCAGCCACAACGGCCACAACUCGCGGACGUGCCCCAACCGCGGGGUCAAGAUCUUCGGGGUACGCCUCACUGAUGGAUCCAUCCGCAAGAGCGCCAGCAUGGGGAACCUCUCCCUGCUCGGGGGAUCCACCAGCGGCGGCGGCGGCGCAUCCCCCGCUGACGUCGGCCACGACGCCGCCGCAGAGGGCUACGCCUCCGACGACUUCGUGCAGGGAUCAUCAUCCGCCAACCGCGAGCGCAAGAAAGGGGUUCCUUGGACUGAAGAAGAACAUCGGAGGUUUUUGCUUGGACUGCAAAAGCUUGGAAAGGGUGAUUGGCGAGGAAUCUCUCGUAAUUUUGUGGUCUCAAGAACACCUACUCAAGUAGCAAGCCAUGCUCAGAAAUAUUUUAUACGCCAAGCCAAUAUGAGCAGAAGGAAGAGAAGGUCUAGCCUCUUUGACUUGGUGCCUGAUGAGUCAGACCUGCCACCCCUACCUGGUAAUCAAGAACCUGAGGCCCAGAUAUUAAAUCACCCACCAUUACCUCCACCCAUGGAGGAGGAGGAGGUAGAAUCUAUGGAGUCAGAUACUUCUGUCAUUGCAGAGAGUUCUUCAGCUUCUGCUAUCAUGCCUGAGAAUUUGCAGUCGAGCUAUCCGGUGCUAGUUCCAGCAUAUUUCUCACCAUUCUUGCAAUUCUCAGUUCCUUUCUGGCAAAAUCAGAAUGAUGGAGAUGAUCUUGGACAAGGAACACAUGAGAUUGUUAAGCCUGUUCCGGUUCAUUCAAAGAGUCCAAUCAAUGUUGAUGAACUGGUGGGCAUGUCGAAGCUAAGCAUAGGGGAUCCCAAGCAAGAUACAGUAUCUACCUCUCUUUCCUUAAAAAUGGUAGGAGGUCAAAAUAGACAAUCGGCUUUCCAGGCGAAUCUCCCAACGAGGGCUCAGGCGUGA